AGCUCCAAUAGCGUAUAUUAAAGUUGCUGCAGUUAAAACGCUCGUAGUUGUUGUCCAACUAUACGCACCAUUGCAUUGUGCUAUUGGUGUAAAUAGUUUUGCUGAGACUCUGUUUCGGCCAAAACCUUGAGGAAAGAUUAGUGUUCCAAGCAGUUAAUUUUGUCCUCCCCAGCAUGGUAUUCAACUCAAUCGAGGAGGGUUGCCGAGCCCUCAUCAAACUAAAUAGAAAUUCUAGGAGGUAUACGUACUUUAAUGUCAGAGGUGAAAUUCCUAGAUUUUUAAAAGACGGUCAGUUGCGAAAGCGUUCACCAAGCGACUCUUCU
rnacentral:rRNA from 1 species